rnacentral:rRNA from 1 species
UACGUAGGGUGCAAGCGUUAAUCGGAAUUACUGGGCGUAAAGCGUGCGCAGGCGGUUAUGCAAGACAGAUGUGAAAUCCCCGGGCUCAACCUGGGAACUGCAUCUGUGACUGCAUCGCUGGAGUACGGUAGAGGGGGAUGGAAUUCCGCGUGUAGCAGUGAAAUGCGUAGAUAUGCGGAGGAACACCGAUGGCGAAGGCAAUCCCCUGGACCUGUACUGACGCUCAUGCACGAAAGCGUGGGGAGCAAACAGG